GCCUCCUUAGCUCAGUGGUAGAGCGUUGGUCUCGUAAACCAAAGGUCGAGAGUUCAAUCCUGUCAGGAGGCA
rnacentral:tRNA from 1 species